AGCUUUCUGAGUCCCUGUAGAGAUUUCAUCAGACACAAACCCAUUAGUGCUGAUCAGACUUCGAAGAUAAGUGGAGUU
rnacentral:pre_miRNA from 1 species